rnacentral:lncRNA from 1 species
AGAAUUCUGACACGGAGGCAUGUGCCUAUGAGAUCUUCUUUUCAGGCCUCCAUCCUUCCUGGCCCACCUUCAGUACUGAGGAAUUACAGCAGAAAACAUGAAGAAUUGGUGCUUGCUGACUUGCCUGAAAGAAGCAAAGGACCUCAAAUCUCAGCAUGUACACCAGUAGGAUCAGGCUGAACAGUUUCAAGCAUUGUGUUUCAGUCCUCAGAGCCACCAUACAAGCUAUGGGAAUUCUGCUGGAUGCAAGUUCAGCUCCAAGCAACUCAAUCUCUCAAUGAGUAAAAUCCAAGACAAACUACAAGGCAAAGCUUUACUGAGCAGAGGUAGCAGGAAAUGUAAUGGUGGCAGGCAAUGAGGAAAACAACCUGGAAUGCUUAGAAGACACAGUGAGCCACCUGACCUUCCAGUGGUCCUUCACAAUUCACCAAGAGCAGAAAAGGGACAUAAACACAUGGAUUUUAUACAGCUAUGUCCUCCUUACCUAUAUAUACCAUAUCCCUUACAUUUGCUCUAAUGAUUUCAAUGAGAAUUAAUAGUUUUGUUUCUAGUCAGUUAAAAAUUUGACCC